UUUCUUUGCUCCUAUAUUGCUGGGUUUUCUCUAUUGCCAGCAAAGGGAAGGAACAUGACAGUCAUUCUUGUUACUUAAAAAUACUUUUAGUCUCAUGUAGUGAGGGUACAAACAAAUCAUAGUAAACUUGAAAACCACAUUACCUUCCCUCAGAAAUCAUUUUCAUGGGUUGCUGUGGCUAAGUAAAGGCAUGGUGCAUGCCUUUAAUCCUGGCACUCGAGAGGCUAAGACAGGCUGAUCUCUGUGAGUUCAAGGCCAGCCUGGUGUAUAUAGUGAGUUCAGGCAAGCCAGGGCUAUAUAGAGGGACUCAAUCUAAACCCCUUUACCUUCCACCCCACCCCUCAAAAGAAAGACUGAUUAGUUGCAUAAGGGCUAGACUUUGUGGUAAACAAUUAUCUUUCAGCCACUACUAGUUUAUUAGUUAAUUUUAAUUUGUUUUAGGUGAGGGCUUGCUACCAUGCACUUACUGGUAAGUAUUUUAGAAGCUAAGUCUCCAUGGGAAUAAUUCUUAUGAAAUGCUAGAUAAGCAGAGAGAUUUAACUGACUUUGGAUUUUUUUUUUUUUUUUUUUGAGACAGGGUUUCUCUGUGUAGCCUGGGCUAUCCUGGAACUCCCACUAUAGACAAGGCUGACCUCAAGCUCAGAGAUCUAACUGCCUCAGUCUCCUGAGUGCUGGGAUUCAAGGUGUGUGCCACCAUGCCCAACUGAGAUUUAACUGAUAAGCAAAGACUUUAUGAUCACAACAAAGUGUUUUAAGGACACAAUCCAUGCUGAGUUUAUUCAGCGCAUGGUGACAUUACUGACAAAGAGCAUUGUGAUAGUGUAACUUAAGCCAGGGACAUUCAUUCUGGCAAAAAACAAUCUUUAGGCAGUGUUGGAAGCUUUUCAAAAAAACAGGCUUCAUGGUAGUGGCACAAACCUUUCAUCCCAGCACUAAGGAGGCAGAGGUAGGUAGGUUCUCUGUAAGUUUCAGGCCACCCUUGUAAGUUACAGGACAGCCAGGGAUACACAGUGAAACCCUGUCUCAAAAAACCAAUCAACCAGCCAGCCAGCCAGCCAACCAACCCUUUUCAAAAAACCUUCAGUAAAGUUUGUGUUUCUAGCACUCAGAAGGUUGAGGUAAGUGGGUCUUGAGUUUUAGACCAGCCUGUGCUACAUAGAGAGGUCCUAUCUCAAAAACAAAACUACC
rnacentral:lncRNA from 1 species